UGCUUCCUGAGCCACCAGCGGGGGCAUAGACGUUGGGUCAUCACCAGACACAACAGCAAAGCUGCUGGUGUUGCUUUCUUCUCCGUCGUGUGAGUCACUGGUCUGGUUGUUCAUAUUUCGGUGGACAGAUUUUGUCACCGUCAUCGCUCUGCAACCGUACAAUAUGCAUGCAUGGAACAGACACGCAAAGGCCCGGCAGCAGCAGAGCUGGGGCGAAAGAUGAAGAUACGGCUGCCACAGACCGGAACAGGGGGUGCCCGCAGAUCUGUGACUCACGGCCACACCGUUGGUCUCAUGAGGGGAGUAAUCCAGCCGUCACACUCCGCGUGAAGAAGGCCGCAUUCUUCCCGCCGGCCAGUGACAUCACAGAUUUUUUUUAAAGCUGCUGAUUCCUGGACCGCCAUCUCUUCGCACACAAAGAAACAAACAGUGUCUCUGGAGGAGAUGGAGGAUUCUAGCAGGAGUCAAUGGGCCUGAGGAGGAGGAAGAACAUCAUCCUGGACAGUUAGUACGAGGACAACGCCUGGGUUCACGUCACGAGGAGCGCGCUGAUACACUACACGGUGCUCCUCAUCCUUCAGGAGAUGAGGGCUGUGAACUGUGAAGUAAUGGGAUUCAAGUGAGCGUCAGAUACACGCUCACUCUCACACACAGCGACCCGCUGACGGCUAGUGUGAGGGUACUGGGAGGAUGUCCUACAUGCACCUGAAACAUAAGAGUCUCUCCACAAAAAUGUGUAGCAAUGCAAACAAAAAAUAGUAAGGAAUCCACAAAUAAAAAUAGUUUUUUAAACUUAUUUCAGCUAACUUGUGGACAUUACUGGGGUAACGUAUCACGUGCUAAAGACAAGCGUCUCGACUUGUGUCAAGAGGCACUUACAGAUGUAAUGGGGGGUUGGGCGAGUGCAGCCAUUUAAAAAAAAAACAUUUUAGGCUCUGAUAAUAAAUUAAACGGAAAUAAUAUACGUUACUUAUUCUUUCUGUGCUCCCUAGAUUAUGAGGUGAGAGUAUUAGCUCACAAGGUCACGCCCAUGCAACAACUUUUUCAUCAGGGUAUUUCUAUCAAUCAGAUGUCUCCAUUUUCAGCCAACAGGUUACAGGCUCAAUGGUUUGAAUGCAACCGUAACAGCAUCCAAAAACAUUUUUGAUAAAACAUUCUUAUUUGUGUGUGUGACUCAAAAAUAAAUUUGUGAAUCCUUCUGUUCUUUGACGACAUAAUUAUCCACGCACACUCACG
ensembl:lncRNA